AGCAGGAUUACGAUGAACAUUUGACAAACUGAGAGAUUAGAUCUACUGUCGGAAUCAGAAGCUAUCGAGGAAAACUAAAGAUGAGGCUGUUAACUUUACUCUGUUUCCUUAUUGGUGUAUCUUGUGUCUUUGGGAGAUGUAUCCGCUACUGUUGUCAGUAUGGACACGUGGGCCUGCAAGCCAACUGCGAGAAAUACUGUAAUUUUUGUGGCGACUUUCCCGGAUUGAGAGAAGCCCAGCAUAGAUUGACAGUUAAACGGAGCCUGUCAAAGAACAUUGGAGACUUUUUUCAUCAUAAGAAGAGAUUUAAACACCAUUAGAGAAGAACUUGGAUCAAAAGAGUACGACAGGACGUCCCUUUGAAUUUACUUACAAGCAGCUUGAUUUCCAUAUAAAUAAUUCUAAUAUCUCUUCAGUAGUUAAUAAAUAUUCUCAUGCAGAACAA